ensembl:miRNA Gm23154 predicted gene, 23154
AUCGGGAUUGCAGCAGCAGCAGCAGCAGCAGCAGCAGCAGCAGCAGCGGCGGCGGC